rnacentral:rRNA from 1 species
UUAAGGGUUUAUGGUGGAUGCCUUGGCACUGAAAGGCGAUGAAGGACGUACAAACUUGCGAUAAGCUACGGGGAGACGGUUAGGGUCUGUGAUCCGUAGAUUUCCGAAUGGGGCAACCUAGUCAUCUGAAGGGUGAUUAACAUUAGUUGAAUUCAUAGAUUAAUGUAGCGAUACGUUGCGAAGUGAAACAUCUCAGUAGCAACAGGAAAAGAAAACAAAGUGAUUCUGUAAGUAGUGGCGAGCGAAAGCGGAACAGGUCAAACCAGUAGCAAUACUGGGGUUAUAGGGCUGCAAUGUGGACUUAUAGAGGAUAGUAGAAAAUGUUGGAAAGCAUUACCAUAGAGAGUGAUAGUCUCGUAUACGAAAUCUUUUAUAUACCUAGCAGGUUCCCUGAGUACAACGAAACACGUGGAAUUUUGUUGGAAUUAUCCCCGACCAUGGGGAAAACCUAAAUACUAAUCAGUGACCGAUAGUGAACAGUACCGUGAGGGAAAGGUGAAAAGAACCCAGGGAUGGGAGUGAAAUAGAUUUUGAAACCAUAUACCUACAACGAGUCAGAGCGCGUUAAUGCGUGAUGGCGUGCGUUUUGAAGUAUGAGCCGGCGAGUUAUGCUGGCAGGCAGGUUAAGUCGAUAGUGAUGGAGCCGUAGGGAAACCGAGUCUUAAUAGGGCGUUUUUUUGUCUGUCAGGAUAGACCCGAAACCAGGUGAUCUAUCCAUGGGCAGGUUGAAUGCAGAGUAACAUCUGUUGGAGGACCGAACCGACCCCCGUUGAAACGUUGGCGGAUGACCUGUGAUUAGCGGUGAAAUUCCAAUCGAAACUCGUGAUAGCUGGUUCUCGUCGAAAUAGUUUUAGGACUAGCGUUGGAUUAUGAGAUAUUGAAGGUAANACCGAACCUUAUCAAACUCCGAAUGCCAUAUACUAUAAGUUCGGCAGUCAGACUACGAAUGAUAAGAUCCGUGGUCAAAAGGGAAACAGCCCAGAUCGUCAGCUAAGGUCCCAAAGUGUAAGUUAAGUGGAAAAGGAUGUGGGAAGGCUAAAACAGUCAGGAUGUUGGCUUAGAAGCAGCCAUCAUUUAAAGAAAGCGUAAUAGCUCACUGGUCGAGAGAUCCUGCGCCGAAGAUGUCCGGGGCUCAAACUUACCACCGAAGCUACGGGCUUGAAUUAAUUCAAGCGGUAGAGGAGCGUCGUAAUCGGGCUGAAGUCAUACCGUAAGGAGUGGUGGACUGAUUACGAGUGAGAAUGUUGGCAUUAGUAGCGAGAUGUAGGUGAGAAUCCUACAGGCCGAAUACCUAAGGUUUCCUCAGGAAGGCUCGUCCGCUGAGGGUUAGUCGGGACCUAAGCCGAGGCCGAAAGGCGUAGGUGAUGGACAACUGGUUGAUAUUCCAGUACCACUACCAUCGUUAUUAUCGAUGGCGUGACGCAGGAGGAUAGUGUGUGCUAGCUAUUGGAUGCUAGUCUAAGCACUUAGUCAGUUACAAUAGGCAAAUCCGUUGUAAUAAUGAUGAGGUGUGAUGGGGAAGGUUCUACGGAACCGAAGUACAUGAUUCCACGCUGCCAAGAAAAGCGUCUAGAGAGAGAAGUAGUGCCCGUACCGCAAACCGACACAGGUAGGUGAGGAGAGAAUCCUAAGGCCGGCGGAAGAAUUGCAGUUAAGGAACUCGGCAAAUUGAUCCCGUAAGUUAGCAAUAAGGGAUGCCUAUGAGAGUAGGCCGCAGAGAAUAGGCCCAAGCAACUGUUUAGCAAAAACACAGGUCUCUGCUAAAGCGUAAGCUGAUGUAUAGGGGCUGACGCCUGCCCGGUGCUGGAAGGUUAAGGGGAACACUUAGCGCAAGCGAAGGUGUGAACUUAAGCCCCAGUAAACGGCGGCCGUAACUAUAACGGUCCUAAGGUAGCGAAAUUCCUUGUCAGGUAAGUUCUGACCCGCACGAAUGGCGUAAUGACUUGGGCACUGUCUCAACUGCAAAUCCGGCGAAGUUGUAGUACCAGUGAAGAUGCUGGUUACCCGCGACAGGACGGAAAGACCCCGUGGAGCUUUACUGUAGCUUAGCAUUGAAUUUCGGUAUUGUCUGUACAGGAUAGGUGGGAGACUGAGAAACUAGGGCGUCAGCCUUAGUGGAGUCGACCUUGGGAUACCACCCUGAUAGUACUGAAGUUCUAACUGGCGGCCAUGAAUCUGGUCACAGGACAUUGUUAGGUGGGCAGUUUGACUGGGGCGGUCGCCUCCUAAAAAGUAACGGAGGCGCCNCUUGGGAUACCACCCUGAUAGUACUGAAGUUCUAACUGGCGGCCAUGAAUCUGGUCACAGGACAUUGUUAGGUGGGCAGUUUGACUGGGGCGGUCUCCUCCUAAAGAGUAACGGAGGCGCACGAAGGUUCGCUCAGAACGGUCGGAAAUCGUUCGAAGAGUGCAAAGGCAGAAGGGAGCCUGACUGCGAGACCGACAAGUCGAGCAGGGACGAAAGUCGGGCUUAGUGAUCCGGUGGUUCCGCAUGGAAGGGCCAUCGCUCAACGGAUAAAAGCUACCUCGGGGAUAACAGGCUGAUCUCCCCCAAGAGUCCACAUCGACGGGGAGGUUUGGCACCUCGAUGUCGGCUCGUCGCAUCCUGGGGCUGAAGUAGGUCCCAAGGGUUGGGCUGUUCGCCGAUUAAAGCGGCACGCGAGCUGGGUUCAGAACGUCGUGAGACAGUUCGGUCCCUAUCCGUCGCGGGCGUAGGAAAUUUGAGAGGAGCUGUCCUUAGUACGAGAGGACCGGGAUGGACUGACCUCUGGUGUACCAGUUGUUCCGCCAGGAGCAUAGCCGGGUAGCUAUGUCCGGAAGGGAUAACCGCUGAAAGCAUCUAAGCAUCUUAAGUGUGAAGCCCACCUCAAGAUGAGAUUUCCCAUGAUUUAAUAUCAGUAAGAGCCCUGAGAGAUGAUCAGGUAGAUAGGUUAGGAGUGGAAGGCUAGUGACACAUGGAGCGGACUAAUACUAAUAGCUCGAGGACUUAUCC